AACGAACGCUGGCGGCAGGCUUAACACAUGCAAGUCGAGCGCCUCGCAAGGGGAGCGGCAGACGGGUGAGUAACGCGUGGGAACGUACCCUUUACUACGGAAUAGCUCCGGGAAACUGGAAUUAAUACCGUAUGUGCCCUUUGGGGGAAAGAUUUAUCGGUAAAGGAUCGGCCCGCGUUGGAUUAGCUAGUUGGUGGGGUAAAGGCCUACCAAGGCGACGAUCCAUAGCUGGUCUGAGAGGAUGAUCAGCCACAUUGGGACUGAGACACGGCCCAAACUCCUACGGGAGGCAGCAGUGGGGAAUAUUGGACAAUGGGCGCAAGCCUGAUCCAGCCAUGCCGCGUGAGUGAUGAAGGCCUUAGGGUUGUAAAGCUCUUUCACCGGAGAAGAUAAUGACGGUAUCCGGAGAAGAAGCCCCGGCUAACUUCGUGCCAGCAGCCGCCGUAAUAC
rnacentral:rRNA from 1 species